rnacentral:rRNA from 1 species
GAUGAACGCUGGCGGCGUGCCUAAUACAUGCAAGUCGAGCGAACAGAUGAGGAGCUUGCUCCUCUGACGUUAGCGGCGGACGGGUGAGUAACACGUGGAUAACCUACCUAUAAGACUGGGAUAACUACGGGAAACCGGAGCUAAUACCGGAUAAUAUAUUGAACCGCAUGGUUCAAUAGUGAAAGACGGUUUUGCUGUCACUUAUAGAUGGAUCCGCGCCGCAUUAGCUAGUUGGUAAGGUAACGGCUUACCAAGGCAACGAUGCGUAGCCGACCUGAGAGGGGGAUCGGCCACACUGGAACUGAGACACGGUCCAGACUACUACGGGAGGCAGCAGUAGGGAAUCUUCCGCAAUGGGCGAAAGCCUGACGGAGCAACGCCGCGUGAGUGAUGAAGGUCUUCGGAUCGUAAAACUCUGUUAUUAGGGAAGAACAAAUGUGUAAGUAACUAUGCACGUCUUGACGGUACCUAAUCAGAAAGCCACGGCUAACUACGUG